AUUACUUACGAGAGAAAAAUCCAAAUUUCUUAUUUUAGCAUUCAAGGCACUUUACAUGCAGGGCUCUACUUCCAAGCUGGGGCAUGUGGUUCCAGAGAAAGAGAGGAUACCUCAGGACAGUAUGAUACAUCUUACCUAAUGUAGAAGAAGAGCAACAGGCCAUGUGUGAUGGUAAAUGGCAGCUGACACUUGCGACAGUAUCAAGAAGGCACUAAGGAAUGGUGAGAAGGAUGACUUGCCCUUUCUAAAGUGGCAUCUCAGCUUGAGUCUGCAGAAUGCCUUGCAAAUCCAGCUCAGUACUGCUAGAUAAUCCAUAUUGACAAGAGAAGCUAAAGAUUCAGAUUUUCUAUGUGAAGUUUCCUGGUUUUAAAAUGUUAGCAACAAAUUCCAAAUUUUUACAGAACACUGUACAGGCCAGAAAGAACAAUCUGUGUGCUACCAGUUUACAAUUAGCUAUGCUUCUUCCUCCUCAGACCUGGCAUGCCCUUUCCACCCCCUUGCCUUUGCUCUUAGUACCCCGUGUACACUCCAACCUCUUCCACCUACAAAUUUCUAAAUGCACAGUUCAAAUGUUAGUUCUUCAGAUUCCUGUCUCUGUAAUAACACUUGCCCCUUUGUAUAACAGUUCUCAUGUAUAUCUUCCUAUUAGACCAUGAGCUCCUGUGGUAGAAAUUGUGUAUUCAUUACUGUAUCCCUAGUGUGCAGUAAAGGAUCACAGUA
rnacentral:lncRNA from 1 species